CGUCGCCUGGCCUUUGCUUGACUGCGUUCGUUCGCAAUCCGUUGCAGUCGAAAAGUACUUCCUAGCGCUACGCGCUCUCGACGGAGAACGGGCAAAGAGGAGCCAGGAGGAAGAACUCGAUACAUCUGCGCUGCUUUCCUCUUCGUCGCGCGCGUCCAGUGAUACUCGCGCCUCUCCAUACAACACAUCCCACACACUCAAACACGUGCACGCGCUACCUCAUGAGCUCGUCGUCACAACCUGCGCAGAAGAGGGCCAAGACGGAGGGCGCGUCCGACACCGCCGGCGCUGCCGCGCCGUGGGUGGAGAAGUAUCGGCCACGCACAUUGGCAGAGGUGGAGGCGCAGGAUGAGGCCGUUGGCGCCCUCCGCGCGUGCUUGAAGGAGGGGGCCAACAUGCCUCACUUUCUCUUUCACGGCCCACCUGGCACGGGCAAGACGACGUCCAUCCUCGCCGUGGCGCACGAGCUCUUCGGCCCCGACUACAUCCGAAGUCGGGUGCGCGAGCUAAACGCCUCUGACGACCGUGGCAUCAACGUGGUCCGGGAGAAGGUGAAAAUCUUUGCGCAAGGCGCUGUCUCGAGCAGCGGUAGCAGCGUCACCCAGUCGGAUGGAAAAGUCUACCCGGUUCCACCUUUCAAGCUCAUCAUUCUCGACGAGGCCGACGCACUGCUCCCCGAUGCUCAGGCUGCUCUGCGGCGCAUGAUGGAGGACUUUAGCGAUGUGACCCGCUUUUGCAUCCUCUGCAACUACGUAAGCCGCAUCAUCGAUCCGAUCGCGAGCCGAUGCGCCAAGUAUCGCUUCAAACCGCUUGUAAAGAGUGCCCUCUAUCACCGUAUCGAGUACGUGGCCCAAGCCGAGGGCAUCACCCUCUCACCAGCCUCUCUCCACGCCUUGGACACCGUGAGUGGCGGCGAUCUCCGUCUCGCCAUUAUGCACCUCCAGUCGGCACAAAAGGCGAAGGGGGACGACUUGUCGAAGGAGGACUUCGUCUCCGUAUCUGGCAGCGUGCCGGCGGACGUGAUGCAGCGAUACCUCAGCGCACUGUUCUCUCACCGCUUAGAGGAGGUGAUUCAGGCAUCGCGCAGGCUGGUUGCGGAGGGCUUCGCCGCCGCACAGGUGCUGCUUCAGAUGCAGCACUACCUUGUGAGCGCCGAGUGUCCGCUGAACUCGGCCCAGCGCGGCAAGAUUAUGCUAAAGCUGUGUCAGACAGAGCGGCGGCUUGCCGACGGGGGAGACGACUAUCUGCAGCUGCUCGACAUUGGAAGCGCUGUGUGCUCCGCAUAAAGAAGAAGCCAGCGGAAGUGAAUUGAAGCCACAUGAGAAGAAACAGAACGAUACAUGCGCAGGCGUGUGCGCGUGCAUGGGUUCAACUGCGAGUGCUGCACCAUUGGCAGCCUUGGACAAUGGAAGAUGUUCGAUGGCGUCAUAGAC
rnacentral:misc_RNA from 1 species